AGUAUAACAUUAUGUUGACUAUAAUUCAAAGCAUCAAAACAUUUGGUGCUAGAAGUCUUUCUUAGAUAAUUAUACAUGAACCAUGAAAGUAACUCACGGAAAAGAGCCCAAACUAAACAAAUAUGGUUAAAAGUGGGGUCUUUACCUUUUCCUUAAACUAAGUAAUCUUAACAGAAUAAAAUUUCAAUCAGAUAUAUAAAGAAGAAAACGAUAAUUUAACUAAUUUUUAACAGAUUUACAUGAUGAUAACACUAAUAUAACAUUCAUCUUGAAACAAAAUCAGAUCUAAUAUGUUCCAUCAACCAAACCGGGAUCAAAUCCUUCUUAUUAUCAUCAAGAAUCUGCAAUAUAAGAAUUUGAAAGUUACCUGAUUUGUAGAAUAAUAAAAUACAACAGUGUAGCAACAAAAAACUCAACAGCAAAUAUAGUAGAAACAGCAGUAACUCAAGUGUUAAGACAACCCAGAAAACUCAACAAAGAUGCUUGAAACUGGUAGCUAUCAACUUCACAAAUUGCCUAAGGGAUCUUUCUAUUUUUUUCGAGGUUUUUGCACUCAAAUAAUCCUCACAAAACUCUGAAAUUUCAGCAUGUUAUAUGUAUUAAGCUGCUGAUUUUUCUCAAAGAUAUAUGUCUUUAAGCAACUCUCCAAGAUGUGUCUCAGUAUAAGAUAGAGUUUGUAAUAAAGUGUCCCUCCCUUUUCAGUGAGUAAAGAGCCCUUUAAAUAGGCAAAUAAAUCAGAUUUUUUGGACAGAUUUUGGUUCACCAAAAGUCUGUCCAAAAGACUGACUUUGUGUGCUAAACACUGUUCAAAAGCUGUCAAAAAGUAUUGUACUUGUCACCACACAAUGACUUUUGAGUUUUGCACUCCAAAGUCUUUGCACAGUAAAAACAACCAAACUUGUACUAUUCCUUCUUUAAUUUCAGCUUUUAUCAACACAAAAAUUCAAAUACCCAAAUCCAAUAAAAACAAAUUCACUAAACACUUGAAACUUCUAUCAUAAACUAUCAUGACUAAGCAAAUAGCUAUUUCAAAACUAAUGAAUAACUAAUUAUCAGUGAUUAAUAACUAUAAAUGACUAAACUAACAUAGAUUAAAUACAACUAAUAAUAAAAAUAUAAAUAAUAAUAAUAAAAAUAAAUAAAUAAAAAAAAUCAGAAAUUAUGCUAGACAUAAACUAAAUACAAUACAAUUAGGAAAAAUAGACAAAGGAAAUGAGAAUAGGGGUAUACCAAACGAGGGUGUUCGGGGUGGUCACCGGAAUUUGGCCGGAUUUUUAGUUGUCGGAUUUUCGGGAUGGAAUUGACAUCAAUAGGUAGGUCUUGAUGAGCUAUAUCCGUUGAUGUAGGUAUCGUGGGGUGGUAGUGCCCGGAACUUCAAGAUUUUGGGCAAAAAAGUGACAGCUAAAGUUUUCUAGAUCUAAAAUUCAAGGCGUUUGAGAGGUUUUUGAAGGAUUUGGUUUAGAGAUAUGGAAAGAGGAGGUUGUAGAGAUUACAUGGUGUGAAUUUAGGGGUGUUUGGAGGUUGGCCGCUGCCGGUGGGUGAUUUCCGGCGGCGGAGAGAAGAGAGAGAAAGAAGAGAGAAAGAGUUAUGGGUGAAAUGAGAGAAUUUUUCAGAUUUUUUAGGCUUUAAAUACCUCUUGAGAGAGAUAAAAUAUGGACC
rnacentral:lncRNA from 1 species